CUGCAGGUCCUCUCGACGCAGAGGCUAACAGGGAAUGCGGUGAAAUGCCGCAGCAGCCCCCGCUACUGUCACCGGACAACGGCCGUACGCAUGUCACUGAAGGGAUCCGCCCUUUGGGAAGACGCGGCCCGCGGAUGAAGGCAAGCCAGGAGACCUGCCUGCAGAAA
rnacentral:ncRNA from 1 species